GGAAUAUUGGACAAUGGGCGAAAGCCUGAUCCAGCCAUGCCGCGUGUGUGAAGAAGGUCUUCGGAUUGUAAAGCACUUUAAGUUGGGAGGAAGGGCAGUUACCUAAUACGUGAUUGUUUUGACGUUACCGACAGAAUAAGCACCGGCUAACUCUGUGCCAGCAGCCGCGGUAAUACAGAGGGUGCAAGCGUUAAUCGGAAUUACUGGGCGUAAAGCGCGCGUAGGUGGUUUGUUAAGUUGGAUGUGAAAUCCCCGGGCUCAACCUGGGAACUGCAUUCAAAACUGACUGACUAGGGUAUGGUAGAGGGUGGUGGAAUUUCCUGUGUAGCGGUGAAAUGCGUAGAUAUAGGAAGGAACACCAGUGGCGAAGGCGACCACCUGGACUAAUACUGACACUGAGAGACGAAAGCUAGGGGAGCGAAUGGGAUUAGAUACCCCUG
rnacentral:rRNA from 1 species